AGAGGCCCUCCACAGCCGGGGCGGGAUGCUUGCCUCGUCGCCACAGCGACGAAGCAAGCAUUCCACCAGGCCGCUCACACUGCCUGC
rfam:Myotis brandtii contig278257, whole genome shotgun sequence.